UCGCCUGUUUAUCAAAAACAUCGCCUCUUGCAAAACUCAAAAAUAAGAGGUCCCGCCUGCCCUGUGACUAUUUGUUUAACGGCCGCGGUAUUUUGRCCGUGCGAAGGUAGCGCAAUCACUUGUCUUUUAAAKGGAGACCCGUAUGAAUGGCAUAACGAGGGCUUAACUGUCUCCUCUUUCAAGUCAAUGAAAUUGAUCUCCCCGUGCAGAAGCGGGGAUAAAAACAUAAGACGAGAAGACCCUAUGGAGCUUUAGACACCAAGGCAGCCCACGUUAAAGACCCUGAAUAAAGGACUAAACCAAGUGAGCCCUGCCCUAAUGUCUUUGGUUGGGGCGACCGCGGGGAAUUAAAGAACCCCCACGUGGAACGGGAAUACUCUUCCUACAACUAAGAGCUACAGCUCUAAUAAACAGAACUUCUGACCAMCAAGAUCCGGCAAUGCCGAUCAACGGACCGAGUUACCCUAGGGAUAACAGCGCAAUCCUCUUUUAGAGCCCAUAUCGACAAGGGGGUUUACGACCUCGAUGUUGGAUCAGGACAUCCUAAUGGUGCAGCCGCUAUUAAGGGUUCGUUUGUUCAACGAUUAAAGUCCUACGUGAUCUGAGUUCAGAC
rnacentral:rRNA from 1 species